rnacentral:ncRNA from 2 species
CAAGUGAGAUUAAGAAUAUCAAUAAGCGUAGGAAAAUAAACUUACAAGGAUACCCUUACUAGCGUCUAGCGAAAUUGGAACAACCUAGCCAUAGAAUGAGGCAGCUCCAUCGUCUGAAUUAUAGUCUGAAGCAGUGUCCUUAGUGGUGGGCCGGACCCAAGUUCGAUUGAGAUCCACGUUGUACCUUGACCAUCUCCCACCACGAGGUGUUCUCUAUGAGUUAUUAGGUUGUUAGGGAAUGCAACCCAAAUCAGGCGAUGAAUUUCAUCCAAGGCUGAUACGGACGAGAGACUUAUAAAGAACAAAUACCACGAUGGAAAGAUGAAAAGGACUUUGAAAAUAGAGUUGAAGAGUGCUAGAAAUUUUGGGAAGGGAAACAGAUGGGGGCCAAUGAUGUGCCCUGGGUGGAUGUGGAAUGGUGAUGAGCCGGUUAUCUGAUUGACUUAGGGUGUGGACUAGCGUGGAUUGUGGGGGGGGAGGGGCAAAGCGUGGGUUCUUUAUACUUUCCUCGAACGUCGUUUUAUUGAUUGUGGUAUCCAGUGAACGCCUCUAGCGUGCUUUAACAUAUGCGCGCUAUGGACACUAGCCUGUUGUAAC